rnacentral:rRNA from 1 species
UACGAAGGGGGCUAGCGUUGCUCGGAAUCACUGGGCGUAAAGGGUGCGUAGGCGGGUCUUUAAGUCAGGGGUGAAAUCCUGGAGCUCAACUCCAGAACUGCCUUUGAUACUGAAGAUCUUGAGUUCGGGAGAGGUGAGUGGAACUGCGAGUGUAGAGGUGAAAUUCGUAGAUAUUCGCAAGAACACCGGAGGCGAAGGCGGCUUGCUGGGCGUUGUCUGACGCUGAGGCGCGAAAGCGUGGGGAGCGAACAGG